UGGGGAAUAUUGGACAAUGGGCGCAAGCCUGAUCCAGCCAUGCCGCGUGUGUGAAGAAGGUCUUCGGAUUGUAAAGCACUUUAAGUUGGGAGGAAGGGCUGUAAGCGAAUACCUUGCAGUUUUGACGUUACCGACAGAAUAAGCACCGGCUAACUUCGUGCCAGCGGCCGCGGUAAUACGAAGGGUGCAAGCGUUAAUCGGAAUUACUGGGCGUAAAGCGCGCGUAGGUGGUUUGGUAAGUUGGAUGUGAAAGCCCCGGGCUCAACCUGGGAACUGCAUCCAAAACUGCCUGACUAGAGUACGGUAGAGGGUGAUGGAAUUUCCUGUGUAGCGGUGAAAUGCGUAGAUAUAGGAAGGAACACCAGUGGCGAAGGCGACCACCUGGACUGAUACUGACACUGAGGUGCGAAAGCGUGGGGAGCAAA
rnacentral:rRNA from 1 species